rnacentral:lncRNA from 1 species
GUUUGCAAUUAGUUCUAUUCUUUUCCUAAUUUAUUGAUUAAUUAUUGUUGUUUGUUUGAUCAGGUAUGGGUAAUGAUGAUAGGAGACCGAUUCUCCUUCUACACUUGCUGUUACCUUUGUCUCAAUGUUAAUUCUGAGGUUUUUGUUGUGAGAAUUCAUGUGUUGGUGUCACCCUGGUUACUACUCUGAAACCGAGCAAUUUCCUUUUGUUGAAUCACAACGCAAGUAGAAUUGGAAAUUUGGCUCUCUAGGCAUGGAUCUUCUAUUCUAGACAUGUGUGUCACAACCAUAUGGGAGCUAUCAGUUUGGAUUUGAUAUCUUGACUUCCAUCUUAAUGUUAAUUUUGAUGCUAAUAAUGUGUCGCAUCAACUUCUUUACCUUGUUAUUUUGUUUGGUCAAGAAUACAGAGAUGUGCAUCUCUAGGUGGAAGUAGU